UACGUAGGGACCGAGCGUUGUCCGGAUUCAUUGGGCGUAAAGAGCUCGUAGGCGGCUGCUCAAGUCGAAUGUGAAAACUCGAGGCUCAACCUCGAGCCUGCAUUCGAUACUGGGCGGCUAGAGUCUGGUAGGGGGAUCUGGAAUUCCUGGUGUAGCGGUGGAAUGCGCAGAUAUCAGGAGGAACACCAGUGGCGAAGGCGGGAUCCUGGGCCAGUACUGACGCUGAGGAGCGAAAGCGUGGGGAGCAAACAGG
rnacentral:rRNA from 1 species